UACGGAGGGUGCAAGCGUUAUCCGGAUUUACUGGGUUUAAAGGGUGCGUAGGUGGGUUGGUAAGUCAGUGGUGAAAUACUUUCGCUUAACGAAGGAACUGCCAUUGAUACUACCAGUCUUGAAUACAGUGGAGGUAGGCGGAAUGCGUCAUGUAGCGAUGAAAUGCUUAGAUAUGACGCAGAACACCAAUUGCGAAGGCAGCUUGCUACACUGUUAUUGACACUGAGGCACGAAAGCGUGGGGAUCAAACAGG
rnacentral:rRNA from 1 species